GAUGAACGCUGGCGGCGUGCCUAAUACAUGCAAGUCGAGCGAACAGACGAGGAGCUUGCUCCUCUGACGUUAGCGGCGGACGGGUGAGUAACACGUGGAUAACCUACCUAUAGACUGGGAUAACCUCGGGAAACCGGAGCUAAUACCGGAUAAUAUAUUUAACCGCCUGGGUUAAUAGUUAAAGACGGUUUUGCUGUUACCUAUAGAUGGAUCCGCGCCGCAUUAGCUAGUUGGUAAGGUAACGGCUUACCAAGGCAACGAUGCGUAGCCGACCUGAGAGGGUGAUCGGCCACACUGGAACUGAGACACGGUCCAGACUCCUACGGGAGGCAGCAGUAGGGAAUCUUCCGCAAUGGGCGAAAGCCUGACGGAGCAACGCCGCGUGAGUGAUGAAGGUCUUCGGAUCGUAAAACUCUGUUAUUAGGGAAGAACAAAUGUGUAAGUAACGAUGCACGUCUUGACGGUACCUAAUCAGAAAGCCACGGCUAACUACGU
rnacentral:rRNA from 1 species